AAAAGCUCAAAUUUGAAAUCUGGUACCUUCGGUGCCCGAGUUGUAAUUUGGAGAGGGCAACUUUGGGGCCGUUCCUUGUCUAUGUUCCUUGGAACAGGACGUCAUAGAGGGUGAGAAUCCCGUGUGGCGAGGAGUGCGGUUCUUUGUAAAGUGCCUUCGAAGAGUCGAGUUGUUUGGGAAUGCAGCUCUAAGUGGGUGGUAAAUUCCAUCUAAAGCUAAAUAUUGGCGAGAGACCGAUAGCGAACAAGUACAGUGAUGGAAAGAUGAAAAGAACUUUGAAAAGAGAGUGAAAAAGUACGUGAAAUUGUUGAAAGGGAAGGGCAUUUGAUCAGACAUGGUGUUUUGUGCCCUCUGCUCCUUGUGGGUAGGGGAAUCUCGCAUUUCACUGGGCCAGCAUCAGUUUUGGUGGCAGGAUAAAUCCAUAGGAAUGUAGCUUGCCUCGGUAAGUAUUAUAGCCUGUGGGAAUACUGCCAGCUGGGACUGAGGACUGCGACGUAAGUCAAGGAUGCUGGCAUAAUGGUUAUAUGCCGCCC
rnacentral:rRNA from 1 species